rnacentral:rRNA from 1 species
UACAGAGGGUGCGAGCGUUAAUCGGAAUUACUGGGCGUAAAGGGCGCGUAGGCGGUCAUAUAAGUUGAAUGUGAAAUCCCUGGGCUUAACCUAGGAACUGCAUGCAAGACUGUAUGGCUAGAGUGCUGUAGAGGGUAGUGGAAUUUCCGGUGUAGCGGUGAAAUGCGUAGAUAUCGGAAGGAACACCAGUGGCGAAGGCGAUCUUCUGGACGGAUACUGACGCUGAGGCGCGAAAGCUAGGGGAGCAAACGGG